rnacentral:sRNA from 1 species
CACAUUUAGUGGGAAAGAGAGCUAUGGGAAUUAAAUUUGGCACAUACUUUGCACUUAAAUACUGAAUGAAUGAAUGAUUGAAUGAAUGAAUACAAAGCAGACCAUGAUAAGAACUAGGAGAAAGAAUGAAGAGGUGGAGUGUGUUACUCUUGGGGCUGGAAUGAGCAUGGCAUGUGCGGAGAUGGCACUGAAGCCAACGUCUGGGCCCCGAAGCCGGUGCAGGCUCUGCUGUCAUUGUCAGGACUCCUUGUGGGCUGUGGGGCUGGCCACUCCUUGGCCCUCUGCCAGCUGCCAGCUCACCCUGCAUUGGUCCAGGACCCCAAGGUCACCUACCUUUCCCCAGAUGCCACCAAGGACACUGAAUCUCAGGAAGCCAUGGACAAAGAGAGAAACUGGAAGGAAAGACAAUCAGAAACUUCAACCCAAAGCCAAUCUGACUGGUCCAGAAAUGGGGGACUGUGAUAGAGAAUCUUUAAUAAAGUGGCUUUUCUCACC